rnacentral:ncRNA from 2 species
AGCUUAUCAAGAGAGGUAUAGGGACUGGCCCGAUGACACCUCAGCAACCAGCCAAUUAUGGCACGGUGCUAAUUCCACCAGGUACUAGUUACCGGCAGAUAAGAA